rnacentral:rRNA from 1 species
UGACCGCUGGCGGCGUGCCUAAUACAUGCAAGUCGAGCGAACAGAUGAGGAGCUUGCUCCUCUGACGUUAGCGGCGGACGGGUGAGUAACACGUGGAUAACCUACCUAUAAGACUGGGAUAACUUCGGGAAACCGGAGCUAAUACCGGAUAAUAUAUUGAACCGCAUGGUUCACUAGUGAAAGACGGUUUUGCUGUCACUUAUAGAUGGAUCCGCGCCGCAUUAGCUAGUUGGUAAGGUAACGGCUUACCAAGGCAACGAUGCGUAGCCGACCUGAGAGGGUGAUCGGCCACACUGGAACUGAGACACGGUCCAGACUCCUACGGGAGGCAGCAGUAGGGAAUCUUCCGCAAUGGGCGAAAGCUUGACGGAGCAACGCCGCGUGAGUGAUGAAGGUCUUCGGAUCGUAAAACUCUGUUAUUAGGGAAGAACAAAUGUGUAAGUAACUAUGCACGUCUUGACGGUACCUAAUCAGAAAGCCACGGCUAACUACGUG